CGCCCACAUCCUGCAGGACGAACUUUUCCGGGCAUUAUUCAAACACUGGCGCCUUCCUUCUGUUGACUUGGCCUUCAGGGAGAACCUAUACAUCACGCGGACUUAAGACCUUCGGAUGAGAGAAAAUCAACCCAGAAGCUCUGUGUCAACAUCAGGAUCCAGUGGCUUCAGUUCUUAAGAAGAGAGAUGUGACCCUGAGAUGUCUCACUGACUACAUGGGAAAGAGUGUUGAGGAGCUCAUCUCUGACUUCAAAGUCAGUGAGCUCAAGCUGUAGAGAUCCUGCAUGUGCCCACUUGAAUGUCUGUGUCACCUCCUUCGAAAAUCCUCCGAGUUGCCUGAUGAGGAAAGGAUUCCGGAUUAGCAGGAGGAGCUGCUGCCCAAAGCAGAAGCUGUUGAACCUUUUACUGAAGUUUCCCAUCAGAUUGUUUAUGAACUCAACAUAGGGAGAAACAUGUCCCUGUGUUGAGCUGGUGAUGCCUGCUCUACAUUAUAAUCAACAGAAAUCAAAGAUUUCAUUCUGGAGAAAUGAAUGAAUAAAUGUUCCCACUAGAUGGAGCUAUUGCACAGUAAAAUAAUUUGUAUGUCAGUGUUUUAGCAGGUGGGAGUCAGUUCAGAAUGAUUAUGGAUGUUCAGAGCACACCUGCAGCUCUGUUUUCACAUUGUGGACUUUUAUUUAUCACUUAAAAUGUACAUUUUCAGUUUCUGUUUGUUACAGGUGAUAAUUUGGACGAAUGAGCUGAACAGACUGGUAAUAAGGUGUCUCAUUUAAAAAGCUAAAUAAGCUUCUGCUACUUACAUCAUCAGCAGAGACAUCCAAACUUCCUUCAGGUGUGUGUAAAUGCAGCUCUCCCUCCUCACUUGCUGUCUCCAACACAACUCUACAUGUAAUACAAACAUAACAGUCCUGGCUGACAUUAAAUCAGUGUUUUCCUGUUCAAAUAUACCUACUUUGAAUCUGAUGAGCUGUAUACACAAAAUGAAGCAUUGUUAGUUCAAGUUCAGACACUGAAUCAGGGCGUCACAAGGUCCUUCUCUGUCCAAUCAUCUAUUUAAGUCCAUCCCACCUACUUAGUGUGCUUUAUAACCGAAGCAGCAUUCAUUCAUUCUGCCUGAUCAGCACAUGGCUGCUCCACCUGUCUAAAGAUCUGCAAAUUGUUGCUGCCAUGGUUAUAAAACUCAAUAUUUGGAGAUUUGUUCUUGCCUUCUGACUAGUGAUGGCGAGAUGAAGCUUCAUGAGGCAUCGAACCACUUGAGCCAAUUGGUUUGAGAAAGGGUUCAUUUCUUGAAGCUUCAUGUGCCUUUUUAAUUGCACCCUGGGGACAAAUUAAGUUUUCUGAAUCUGACACAAAUCUGCCUACUGGCUGAGUGUUUAAACACAGGCAGCUGUAUCUGAACCACAUGCCUGAUGCACUGAACUUUUGUCUGUUAUGGCUGUUUGGAAUGACUAUGAAAUACAAGAAAAUGUAUGACCAAAUAAUUUCUGUACAUAAAUUAUCACACGUGUAUAA